GCGGGCGUAGCUCAGAUGGUAGAGCGCUCGCUUAGUAUGAGAGAGGCACGGGCUCGAUACCCGCGCCUUCA